rnacentral:lncRNA from 1 species
CCCCAUCAAACAAUAUAAGCCAACCAAGCUAACGAGAUAUUUGACGCGACUCAAACCAAGCAAUCUUAAUAGCUGACGAAAGACAGAGAGAUAAAUUAUAUUUUAUGUAAAUCCUAUACAUAACUAGUUUUCAGUGUUCAUUUAAAAACCACUUCACACUUGAGAAUAAGCCUAUAUAUAAUAAUGUGUUUAUAUCCUUAAGAGAGACAAUUUCCUCCUUUCAAUUCAAGGUAUCUUUAUUUUAUUAACAAUUAACUGUUAUGAGCUCACAUACACAUUAUACACCCCCAUCCCUCUUUUUUUUUUUUUAACACUGCUGUGUAUUUGCUAUUUUGCUUCCGCUUCAUAACUUGUCUAGACACAGAACAGGAAAAGUGCUGACCUUUCUCUUUGUCCAUUACAGGAGAUCCACCACCACUCAUGUCAGCUAUUGUAGCAAGGGGGGGCAAAGUGCUGCCUUCCUCAUCAAAGACAACUCUGGUUCCAGCUGGUCGGUGGAUAUUAAUUUUUAGCUUCUUUUUCUUCCCAAUCCUAGUUACUGGCCUGAAAUA